rnacentral:rRNA from 1 species
GGAAGCGAACCCGUGAGGGGGAGGCGAAACCGGAAAAUAACGUCUCAGUUCGGAUUGUAGUCUGCAACCCGACUACAUGAAGCUGGAAUCGCUAGUAAUCGCGGAUCAGAAUGCCGCGGUGAAUACGUUCCCGGGUCUUGUACACACCGCCCGUCACACCAUGGGAGUCGGGAAUGCCCGAAGCCUGUGACUGAACCGGAAGGGAAGAGCAGUCGAAGGCAGGCCUGAUGACUGGGGUGAAGUCGUAACAAGGUAUC